CAGCCGUAAACUAUGCUCGCUAGGUGUCAGGCAUGGCGCGACCGUGUCUGGUGCCGCAGGGAAGCCGUGAAGCGAGCCACCUGGGAAGUACGGCCGCAAGGCUGAAACUUAAAGGAAUUGGCGGGGGAGCACAGCAACGGGUGGAGCCUGCGGUUUAAUUGGACUCAACGCCGGGAAGCUCACCGGAUAAGACAGCGGAAUGAUUGCCGGGCUGAAGACUCUGCAUGACUAGCUGAGAGGUGGUGCAUGGCGUAGACGUCU
rnacentral:rRNA from 1 species